rnacentral:rRNA from 1 species
CACGUAGGGACCAAGCGUUGUCCGGAUUUAUUGGGCGUAAAGAGCUCGUAGGCGGUUCGGUAAGUCGGGUGUGAAAACUCUGGGCUCAACUCGGAGAGGCCACCCGAUACUGCCGUGACUUGAGUACGGUAGGGGAGCACGGAAUUCAUGGUGUAGCAGUGAAAUGCGUAGAGAUCAUGAGGAAGACCAGUGGCGAAGGCGGGUCUCUGGACAGUUCCUGACACUGAGGCACGAAGGCCAGGGGAGCAAACGGG